UCUCUCUGAAUCUGCGAACGGCUCCGCAAACCAGUUGUAAACUAUAGCAAGCAGGCUCGGGGUCGGCUCUCACGGGUUGGCUUCGGGCGAUAUGGAUAACCCUGGUAAUUCUGAGGCUAAUACAUGAACGUAAAACCUGGUUGACUGGGCUUCGGUCUGGGAGGCUGGGGGAUGUGUGAUUGCAGGCUUGGGUAACACCGGGAAAGGGCGCACGUCCAGACCGCGCUAUAAAGGAUGGGACCCCUUCGGGGGACCCGCCCCAGCGGCUCUUGCUGUGUGCUUCUGACCUAUCAACUAGACGGCAGCGUAAGGGACAUGCUAUGGUGACAACGGGUACAGAGGAUUAGGGUUCGAUCCUGGAGAGUGGGCCUGAGAGAUU
rnacentral:rRNA from 1 species